rnacentral:misc_RNA from 1 species
ACUCCCACAUUGCCCCGGGAUAGCUGGGAACUCAGAUUGGAUGCAUCUAAUCUGAACCCCCUAGCUUCCCUAUUGAUUUUUCAUUUUUAGAAAAAUCCUCAAUCCGUCAACAGAAGUCAAUUGAUCUGAUGACGACGACCGCUGUGCUGCCGGAGUCGUUCAUGGGCGCCCGUGACGACAUCACUGAGCAGUUCAGCAUGAUCUGGGAGCAGAUCCGUGCCCCGGUCGUCGUCCCGCUGCUCCGCUUCGCUGUCGCGGUCUGUCUCACCAUGUCCUUAGCUCUCUUCAUUGAGAGGGUUUACAUGGCCAUAGUUAUAACGUACAUCAAGCUUUUUGGCCGGCGUCCCGAUAAGCGGUACAAGUGGGAGCCGAUACGCGAUGAUGUCGAGCUCGGAAACUCCAACUAUCCUAUGGUGCUCAUCCAGAUCCCAAUGUUCAACGAGAAAGAGGUUUAUCAGUUGUCGAUCGGGGCGGCAUGCGGGCUCUCCUGGCCGUCGGAUCGGAUCAUCAUCCAAGUGCUGGAUGAUUCAACGGAUCCAGUUAUUAAGG